rnacentral:sRNA from 1 species
UGCUGAUUGUCCUUGAGGCUGACGCCAGG